UUCAGGCCGUGGUCAUCAUGGGUUCCAGUAGGGCCAGCCUUCCUUUAGGGCCCUCCCAGCUCAUAGCUCUUCACAUGCUCCUUCAUCUCAGGAUUCUUCUGCGGAGGGCGCCAUCACGAUCGGGUUGGGGUCAUGACAAGUUGGUAUCCUGCUCAGGAUAGCAUAAAAUCUAGCCUCGCCACCGCCACCUGAUCGAUCUCCACCCCUCGGGCGACCCCUGGCUUCCUGGCCUCCGUCACGCUCUGACUGGGCUGGUGCUGAAGAUACCGGAGCAAAAGAUGAGGGUUGAUCCCUCUAUUGAGACUUACUACCACGACGUCGAGGACACUGCCUCCUCAUAUGGCCAAACUCGCCACACUCAAAGCAAAU
rnacentral:lncRNA from 1 species